rnacentral:rRNA from 1 species
UUACACAUGCAAGUCGAACGGCAGCGCGGGGCAACCUGGCGGCGAGUGGCGAACGGGUGAGUAAUAUAUCGGAACGUGCCCUGGAGUGGGGGAUAACGCAGCGAAAGUUGCGCUAAUACCGCAUACGAUCUAAGGAUGAAAGCGGGGGAUUCGCAAGAACCUCGUGCUCCUGGAGCGGCCGAUAUCUGAUUAGCUAGUUGGUGGGGUAAAGGCCUACCAAGGCAUCGAUCAGUAGCUGGUCUGAGAGGACGACCAGCCACACUGGAACUGAGACACGGUCCAGACUCCUACGGGAGGCAGCAGUGGGGAAUUUUGGACAAUGGGCGAAAGCCUGAUCCAGCAAUGCCGCGUGAGUGAAGAAGGCCUUCGGGUUGUAAAGCUCUUUUGUCAGGGAAGAAACGGUGAAGGCUAAUAUCCUUUGCUAAUGACGGUACCUGAAGAAUAAGCACCGGCUAACUACGUGCCAGCAGCCGCGGUAAUACGUAGGGUGCAAGCGUUAAUCGGAAUUACUGGGCGUAAAGCGUGCGCAGGCGGUUUUGUAAGUCUGUCGUGAAAUCCCCGGGCUCAACCUGGGAAUUGCGAUGGAGACUGCAAGGCUAGAAUCUGGCAGAGGGGGGUAGAAUUCCACGUGUAGCAGUGAAAUGCGUAGAGAUGUGGAGGAACACCGAUGGCGAAGGCAGCCCCCUGGGUCAAGAUUGACGCUCAUGCACGAAAGCG